ensembl:lncRNA
GUAAUUUACCAAAAGAACAUCAUUACUUUUACCAUUCAGUUUUGAGAAACAAAGCCCUAGGAUGUCAAUUGACUUCUUCAGAGUUACACAGUGACAGAUAGAAUUAAGAGCAAAGUUUAAGGAUGUAGAGUACCAAUCUCUGGGGUGGUGAGUUUCCUGACAUUUCCUGGGAUCACUCUGGAGUCCAGUCCAAGAAAUGCAAGCUGCUUUAGGAGCCGGAGAUGAGAAGGUGAUCCUCAGGAGGAUCCUCAGGAUCCUCAGGUGAUCCAGCCAUGAUGACUUGGAGCCAGGAGUGGGCGAGGGAUGCUAUAGCCAGCCAACCUGACACAGAAGCCCAGAGAAACCAUGAGCCAGCACCUGUAGCACAAGAUUCCCACGGCCCUUGCCAUGGGUCCUGUCUCCAACCUCUCAUUUGGAGGGCGAUGAAGCUGGGGGAGAAGGUGGGACAGAGUCAUUGUUAUACCACGGAGAAAUUUAUCCUCUGAGCAAAGCAAGCUGACUCAAGGAGAAGAUGAGCCUGUGAUCCUGACUCUUUUUUAGUUUAACCCUAUAAAUCAAUUAAAACAAGGAUACAACCAGCAUGAUGGGGGAAAUGUUGGACCAAAAGUCCAACUAGUGACUUUGGUCAAGUUCACUUAACUUCCUCAAUGGAAAUCAGGACCUUCAUUUCCUCAUCUCUAAAAUAAACUCUUGCACUAGAUGUUUUCUGGGGUCCCUUUUGGAUUUCUAGCUAUAAUCCUGUGAUCCUGGGAGGAAGUUGUGAAAGGUGAACCUUUGUUGUUUGUCCUUCCAAUGACAUCACAAGUGGUCUUGACUUGUACAUCAAUUGAUUUGAAAGGAGGUGGAGUUGUACAAAAUCAUCAGACUCGUCAUCUCUUCCAGAGGCAUCAGAGUCCA